UAGGGAAUCUUCCGCAAUGGACGCAAGUCUGACGGAGCAACGCCGCGUGAGUGAAGAAGGAUUUCGGUUCGUAAAACUCUGUUGUUAGAGAAGAACAGCGCAUAGAGUAACUGUUAUGCGUGUGACGGUAUCUAACCAGAAAGCCACGGCUAACUACGUGCCAGCAGCCGCGGUAAUACGUAGGUGGCAAGCGUUGUCCGGAUUUAUUGGGCGUAAAGCGAGCGCAGGCGGUCAAUUAAGUCUGAUGUGAAAGCCCCCGGCUCAACCGGGGAGGGUCAUUGGAAACUGGUUGGCUUGAGUGCCGAAGAGGGGAGUGGAAUUCCAUGUGUAGCGGUGAAAUGCGUAGAUAUAUGGAGGAACACCAGUGGCGAAGGCGACUCUCUGGUCUGUAACUGACGAUGAGGUUCGAAAGCGUGGGUAGCAAACAGG
rnacentral:rRNA from 1 species